UACAGAGGGUGCAAGCGUUAAUCGGAAUUACUGGGCGUAAAGCGUGCGUAGUCGGUUAUUUAAGUCGGGGGUGAAAUCCCGAGGCUCAACCUCGGAACUGCCUUCGAUACUGGAAGUCUUGAGUCCGGGAGAGGUGAGUGGAACUCCGAGUGUAGAGGUGAAAUUCGUAGAUAUUCGGAAGAACACCAGUGGCGAAGGCGGCUCACUGGCCCGGUACUGACGCUGAGAUACGAAAGCGUGGGGAGCAAACAGG
rnacentral:rRNA from 1 species